ACGGAUCGAGAUCAGGGCUUUGAGCGUUCUUUCUUUCUUCUUGGACUCUUGACCUCAAAUCAGGUAGGACUACCCGCUGAACUUAAGCAUAUCAAUAAGCGGAGGAAAAGAAACUAACAAGGAUUCCCCUAGUAACUGCGAGUGAAGCGGGAAGAGCUCAAAUUUUGAAUCUGGCGGUCCUCGUGGCCGUCCGAGUUGUAAUCUAGAGAAGCGUCUUCCGCGCUGGACCGUGUACAAGUCUCCUGGAAGGGAGCGUCAUAGAGGGUGAGAAUCCCGUCUUUGACACGGACUGCCAGGGCUAUGUGAUGCGCUCUCGAAGAGUCGAGUUGUUUGGGAAUGCAGCUCAAAACGGGUGGUAAAUUCCAUCUAAAGCUAAAUACAGGCGAGAGACCGAUAGCGAACAAGUACCGUGAGGGAAAGAUGAAAAGAACUUUGGAAAGAGAGUUAAACAGUACGUGAAAUUGCUGAAAGGGAAACGCUUGAUGUCAGUCACGUCCGCCAGGGAUCAACCUUGCAUUAGUUUGCUGGGCGCAAUUCUUGGUAGGACGGGUCAGCGUCAGUUUCGAUCGUCGUAGAAUGGUCAAGGGAAUGUGGCACCUCGAGGGGUGUGUUAUARCCCUGGGUCGUAUGCGUCGGUAGGGACUGAGGAACUCGGCACGAACCUU
rnacentral:rRNA from 1 species